rnacentral:rRNA from 1 species
CGUUAUAACUCCUAAACCCCAUGUGAACAUACUUAACGUUGCCUCGGCGGGUCGUACCUACCUUGUAGCGCCUACUUGUUAGGCGCCUACCCGGUAGGCGCGGGAAAGCCCGCCGGUGCCCCACGAAACUCUGUUUAAGUACUAGAUGUCUGAAUUAUAACUAAAUAAACUUAAAAACUUUCAACAACGGAUCUCUUGGUUCUGGCAUCGAUGAAGAACGCAGCGAAAUGCGAUAAGUAAUGUGAAUUGCAGAAUUCAGUGAAUCAUCGAAUCUUUGAACGCACAUUGCGCCCAUUAGUAUUCUAGUGGGCAUGCCUGUUCGAGCGUCAUUUCAACCCUUAAGCCUUCUGUUGCUUAGCGUUGGGGGCCUACUGUGUAGCGGUAGCCCUUUAAAAUCAGUGGCGGAGUCGGUUCACACUCUAGACGUAGUAAAUAUUAUCUCGCCUAUUAGUUGGACCGGUCCCCUGCCGUAAAACACCUAAUUUCUCAAGGUUGACCUCGGAUCAGGUAGGAAUACCCGCUGAACUUAAGCAUAUCAAA